rnacentral:rRNA from 1 species
AUGUGAGAUGCAGUGUAUGGAAUGUCAAAUUUCUAGUAUGAGAAAUUAACGAUUUAAGUCCUUCUUAAAUGAGGCCAUUUACCCAAAGAGGGUGCCAGGCCCGUAUAACGUUAAUGAUUACUAGAUGGCAUUUCCAAAGAGUCGUGUUGCUUGAUAGUGCAGCACUAAGUGGGUGGUAAACUCCAUCUAAAACUAAAUAUAACCAUGAGACCGAUAGUAAACAAGUACCGUGAGGGAAAGUUGAAAAGAACUCUGAAUAGAGAGUUAAAUAGUACGUGAAACUGCUUAGAGGUUAAGCCCGAUGAACCUGAAUAUCCUUUAUGGAAAAUUCAUCAUUAUGAUUUUAAUAUUUUUAUAAUACUAAAAUAAUGGUGUGCAUUUUUUCCAUAUAUGGACAUUGUAAUCUAUUAAUAUACACAUCCUAUUUAUUAUAAGAUCAUUAGCUUUAGUUUAUUCAAAUUAUUUUGCUUGCAAUUUAACAUAGAAUAAAUGCUUUUGAUUUAAUAAAGUGUUGAUAGAUUUAUUAUAUAUAGUGCUUGAAUAUAUUUAUAUAUUCUAUAAUGGCAUAUUGAUCAUUGAUCUUUAUGUUUCAAUUAUAUGCACUUAUAUGAUUAACAAUGCGAAAGAUUCAGGAUACCUUCGGGACCCGUCUUGAAACACGGACCAAGGAGUCUAACAUAUUUGCAAGUGAUUGGGAAUUAAAAACCUAAAAGCGAAAUUAACAUAACUUAUAUAAUGGGAUUAGUUUUUAGUACUAUUUAUAGUCUAUUAAUUCAAUCCCGGGGCGUUCUAUACAGUUAUGUAUAAUAAUAUUUAUAUUAUUUAUACCUCUAACUAGAGCGUACCUUGAG